rnacentral:rRNA from 1 species
UACGAACCGUGCGAACGUUGUUCGGAAUCACUGGGCAUAAAGGGCGCGUAGGCGGCUUGGCAAGUGGAUGGUGAAAUCCCUCGGCUUAACCGAGGAACUGCCGUCCAAACUGCUUUGCUUGAGGCCGGGAGAGGUGAGUGGAAUUCCCAGUGUAGCGGUGAAAUGCGUAGAUAUUGGGAGGAACACCAGUGGCGAAGGCGGCUCACUGGACCGGUACUGACGCUGAUGCGCGAAAGCGUGGGGAGCAAACGGG